rnacentral:ncRNA from 1 species
UGUCGAACACGGAAUUGCUCUCGUAUAAAGCCGGGGAUAUGGCCCGGCAGUUUCUACCGGCUCCCGUAAAGUGCCGACUACGAGGUUCGACAUCGUGCAU